GACGAACGCUGGCGGCGUGCUUAACACAUGCAAGUCGAACGGAAAGGCCCUGCUUUUGUGGGGUGCUCGAGUGGCGAACGGGUGAGUAACACGUGAGUAACCUGCCCUUGACUUUGGGAUAACUUCAGGAAACUGGGGCUAAUACCGGAUAGGAGCUCCUGCUGCAUGGUGGGGGUUGGAAAGUUUCGGCGGUUGGGGAUGGACUCGCGGCUUAUCAGCUUGUUGGUGGGGUAGUGGCUUACCAAGGCUUUGACGGGUAGCCGGCCUGAGAGGGUGACCGGCCACAUUGGGACUGAGAUACGGCCCAGACUCCUACGGGAGGCAGCAGUGGGGAAUAUUGCACAAUGGGCGGAAGCCUGAUGCAGCAACGCCGCGUGCGGGAUGACGGCCUUCGGGUUGUAAACCGCUUUCGCCUGUGACGAAGCGUGAGUGACGGUAAUGGGUAAAGAAGCACCGGCUAACUACGUGCCAGCAGCCGCGGUGAUACGUAGGGUGCGAGCGUUGUCCGGAUUUAUUGGGCGUAAAGGGCUCGUAGGUGGUUGAUCGCGUCGGAAGUGUAAUCUUGGGGCUUAACCCUGAGCGUGCUUUCGAUACGGGUUGACUUGAGGAAGGUAGGGGAGAAUGGAAUUCCUGGUGGAGCGGUGGAAUGCGCAGAUAUCAGGAGGAACACCAGUGGCGAAGGCGGUUCUCUGGGCCUUUCCUGACGCUGAGGAGCGAAAGCGUGGGGAGCGAACAGGCUUAGAUACCCUGGUAGUCCACGCUGUAAACGGUGGGUACUAGGUGUGGGGUCCAUUCCACGGGUUCCGUGCCGUAGCUAACGCUUUAAGUACCCCGCCUGGGGAGUACGGCCGCAAGGCUAAAACUCAAAGGAAUUGACGGGGCCCCGCACAAGCGGCGGAGCAUGCGGAUUAAUUCGAUGCAACGCGUAGAACCUUACCUGGGUUUGACAUGGAUCGGGAGCGCUCAGAGAUGGGUGUGCCUCUUUUGGGGUCGGUUCACAGGUGGUGCAUGGCUGUCGUCAGCUCGUGUCGUGAGAUGUUGGGUUAAGUCCCGCAACGAGCGCAACCCUUGUUCACUGUUGCCAGCACGUUAUGGUGGGGACUCAGUGGAGACCGCCGGGGUCAACUCGGAGGAAGGUGGGGAUGACGUCAAGUCAUCAUGCCCCUUAUGUCCAGGGCUUCACGCAUGCUACAAUGGCUGGUACAGAGAGUGGCGAGCCUGUGAGGGUGAGCGAAUCUCGGAAAGCCGGUUUCAGUUCGGAUUGGGGUCUGCAACUCGACCUCAUGAAGUCGGAGUCGCUAGUAAUCGCAGAUCAGCAACGCUGCGGUGAAUACGUUCCCGGG
rnacentral:rRNA from 1 species